rnacentral:rRNA from 1 species
GCUUGUCUCAAAGAUUAAGCCAUGCAUGUCUAAGUAUAAACAAAUCUAUACUGUGAAACUGCGAAUGGCUCAUUAUAUCAGUUAUAGUUUAUUUGAUGGUUCUUGCUACUUGGAUAACCGUAGUAAUUCUAGAGCUAAUACAUGCAUCAAACCCCGACUCACGAAGGGGUGUAUUUAUUAGAUGGAAACCAAUGCGGGGCAACCCGGAUUAUGGUGAUUCAUAAUAACUCGCGGAUCGGUUUACCGAUGCAUCAUUCAAGUUUCUGCCCUAUCAGCUUUGGAUGGUAGGGUAUUGGCCUACCAUGGCGUUAACGGGUAACGGAGAAUUAGGGUUCGAUUCCGGAGAGGGAGCCUGAGAAAUGGCUACCACAUCCAAGGAAGGCAGCAGG